CCUACGGGGGGCAGCAGUGGGGAAUAUUGCACAAUGGGGGAAACCCUGAUGCAGCGACGCCGCGUGAGUGAAGAAGUAUUUCGGUACGUAAAGCUCUAUCAGCAGGGAAGAAAAUGACGGUACCUGACUAAGAAGCCCCGGCUAACUACGUGCCAGCAGCCGCGGUAAUACGUAGGGGGCAAGCGUUAUCCGGAUUUACUGGGUGUAAAGGGAGCGUAGACGGCAGCGCAAGUCUGGAGUGAAAUCCCAUGGCUUAACCAUGGAACUGCUUUGGAAACUGUGCAGCUAGAGUGCAGGAGAGGUAAGCGGAAUUCCUAGUGUAGCGGUGAAAUGCGUAGAUAUUAGGAGGAACACCAGGGGCGAAGGCGGCUUACUGGACUGUAACUGACGUUGAGGCUCGAAAGCGUGGGGAGCAAACAGGAUUAGAUACCCGGGUAGUC
rnacentral:rRNA from 1 species